rnacentral:lncRNA from 1 species
ACAACAACAACAAACCCAGUGUAUUCCCACUUAGUGGGGUCUGGGGGGGGUAAGAUGUACGCAGUCCAUACCUCUACCUCUGAUGAAGUAGAAAGGCUGUUUCCGAAAGACCCCUGGCUCAAGGCACAAGAUAUCACACAACACAUAGUACAGCACAGAAGCAGAUGACAUAACAUAAAUACGGCACCCAUAAGGAAUAUAAAACAGAGGAAAGCAGAGGAAAGCACACAAAUUCGUAAUAAGCAUGGAACACUGAAUACGGAAUCAUAACGGGAAUAAAAAA